rnacentral:rRNA from 1 species
UGGGGAAUUUUGGACAAUGGGGGCAACCCUGAUCCAGCCAUGCCGCGUGAGUGAAGAAGGCCUUCGGGUUGUAAAGCUCUUUCGCAAGGGAAGAAACGAUUUAGACGAAUAAUCUAAGUUAAUGACGGUACCUUGAUAAGAAGCACCGGCUAACUACGUGCCAGCAGCCGCGGUAAUACGUAGGGUGCGAGCGUUAAUCGGAAUUACUGGGCGUAAAGCGAGCGCAGGCGGUUCUGUAAGUCAGAUGUGAAAUCCCCGGGCUCAACCUGGGAACUGCGUUUGAAACUACAGGGCUAGAGUAUGGGAGAGGGGGGUAGAAUUCCACGUGUAGCAGUGAAAUGCGUAGAGAUGUGGAGGAAUACCAAUGGCGAAGGCAGCCCCCUGGCCUAAUACUGACGCUCAUGCUCGAAAGCGUGGGGAGCAAACA